UAUAAGUUACCAAUAAUACCUCGAGUCCCUUUACCAAAAACACUUUAUUAUUGAGCUUUGAAGACAUUGCGUAUCAUCAAUGUUGCCUUAAUCCUAACACAACACCUCCGCACACAUGGGGCUACGAGACUCACUGAGCGUCAUAUUCUUAAAUCUUCCGACACCCAAGCACAUGCAUUUAACAAGGCUUUCGUUGAAUUUGUGGGCAUUUCCAGGGGCAGUUUUAUGACCCUGGUGGUAGUCUGACCCUUCCUCUGUACCAUGAACGUAAAGAAACACCCAUGGAGACGCGUUUGACCUCUUAUUGUAUUGGACAAGGCUUUCUUAGGGCGCUGUGGGCAUUUCCAGGGGUAGUUAUAUGGCCCUGCUGGUAGUUUGACCCUUCUUCUGUACCAUGAACCUGAAAAAGCACUCCCAAGAACCCGAUUAAUCUCCUUUUCGACCUAAGGAAAGCGUUCAUGUGAGAGGAGAGCGUUUCACCAUCAUCAUCAUCAGCAAUAACAAGAAACAAAUGAGAAUCAUGCUUGCGGAAAUCGUGGUUUGACUGAAGAUCCACGGAAAAUUUCCCAGUGUAAUAGCCCCUUAAGACUACCCAUGGGAAUACUAACACCUCUACCAAAACCUUGUCAAAUGAGGGUGUGUGAGCCCCGAAAUUUGUGAGAAUAUGGACCUAGCAGAGCUGGCGGCACAGUCCUAGCUCCCCUUGAAGGACUGGCCGGCCCUUCCUUCCAACGGUGCCAGAUUGCCGUGCUCAGCCGCUUCUAUUUCCCGACUUCCUACCCCAAAAAACUGUCUUCUGGGGUCCAAUAGCGAAACUCAUUUAUAUUUACCGUUAAGAGAGAUAGGCCCUGAUGUUUCUUGGCAAUAGUUAGGCGUCAGAAACAGGUAAAUACUAUGCUUUGGGUACGAUAAUCUGGCAACGGUGCUUCCUUCCUUUGAGAGCGGCGCCACACGAGCACAAAUUCCGGGAUCUCGGGAACUUGCUGCCGAUAUGAGAAUCUUUUGUCCGUACGGCUUUCCACGCCUGUUUCCUUCAUGUUAUCUGACUCAUAUUUUUCCUUAGUUUUGUUUGUGAUGUGUAUUUUUCUACCACUACUUUUUCUUCGUUAGUUUUGUUAUUCAAGUCUUUCAACCCAUAUCAGGUUCCUCCACGCCAAUUUCCUUUAUCUUAUCCGACUCUAUUUUUCUUUAGUUUUGAUUGUGAUAUCACUCAGCGUUUUAUUUGUCUCAUAUUUACCUUACUAAAGCCUCUCGUAAUACUCUUUCUUUGUUAGUUUUGUUAGUCAAGUCUUUCACCCCACACACGCUCAUUACGGGCAGAGAGAUACAGAGAGAUGCCGGAAUUGGUACUCGAGAUAUAACCUAAAUACUGUUACAUGAGGGAUUGAUAAAGUAAAUAAGUACAGUAAAUAAAUAAAGAUAAAUAGAGAGAUACAGAGAGAUGCCGGAAUUGUUACUUAAGAUACAACCUUAAUACUGUUACAUGAGGGAUUGAUGAGUAAAUAAGUACAGUAAAUAAAGAUAGAUCAAAGGAAGAAAGAUAAGAGGUAAGCAAGAGAUAUACAGAUUAGGAUGGGUAGACAAAUAAAUACAGAUAUACCAAUAAUGAUAAAUAGACAGAUAUAGAUAGACAGGUAGAUUUAGAUAUACAGAUUAAGAUGGGUAGAUAAAUAAAUACAGAUAUACCAAUAAAAAUAGAUAGACAGGUAGAUUUAGAUAUACAGAUUAGGAUGGGUUGAUAAAUAAAUACAGAUAUACCAAUAAUGAUAAAUAGACAGGUAGAUUUAGAUAUACAGAUUAGGAUGGGUAGACAAAUAAAUACAGAUAUACCAAUAAAAAUAGAUAGACAGGUAGAUUUAGAUAUACAGAUUAGGAUGGGUAGACAAAUAAAUACAGAUAUACCAAUAAUGAUAAAUAGACAGAUAUAGAUAGACAGGUAGAUUUAGAUAUACAGAUUAGGAUGGGUUGAUAAAUAAAUACAGAUAUACCAAUAAAAAUAGAUAGACAGGUAGAUUUAGAGAUACAGAUUAAGAUGGGUAGAUAAAUAAUGACAGAUGUACCAAUAAAAAUAGAUAGACAGGUAGAUUUAGAGAUACAGAUUAGGAUGGGUAGACAAAUAAAUACAGAUAUACCAAUAAAAACAGAUAGACAGGUAGAUUUAGAUAUACAGAUUAGGAUGGGUUGAUAAAUAAAUACAGAUAUACCAAUAAAAACAGAUACAGGUAGAUUUAGAUAUACAAAAUAGACUGGUAUAAGUACAUUUCAAACUGCAACUACUACAACUACUACUACUACUACUACUACUACUAUAACUACUACUACAAAACCAACUUCAAUGAGUCAUAAUAUGUAACAACAGCCAAGGAAAAAAAACUAUAGUACAUAAAUAAGAAUGUAAUGAUGUUUGUAAAAGUAAGCAAAAAAUAUAAGGUAAUAAAACUGAUAAGGUAGUUUCCUACACAUCAAACUAACACAAUAAAAACAGCAAUUCCUCUUGUCA